GGGAAGAAGAAGAAGAUGUCUCACAGGAAAUUUGAGCACCCAAGGCACGGGUCCCUUGGAUUUCUUCCAAGGAAACGAGCAGCUCGUCACCGGGGAAAAGUGAAGGCUUUCCCAAAGGAUGAUGCAAGCAAGCCGUGUAGGUUGACUGCCUUUUUGGGUUACAAGGCUGGAAUGACGCACAUUGUCAGGGAGGUUGAGAAGCCAGGAUCUAAACUUCACAAGAAGGAGACAUGUGAGCCUGUUACGAUCAUUGAGACCCCACCUAUGGUUAUUGUUGGUGUUGUUGGAUAUGUGAAGACCCCACGUGGUCUCCGCACCUUGGGCACUGUAUGGGCUCAGCAUUUGAGCGAGGAAGUAAGGAGGAGGUUCUAUAAGAACUGGUGCAAGUCUAAGAAGAAGGCUUUCACUAAGUACUCUAAACAAUAUGAAACUGAUGAGGGAAAGAAGACCAUCCAGGAGAAACUUGAGAAGCUGAAGAAAUAUGCAUCUGUGAUCCGUGUCUUGGCUCACACUCAGAUUACCAAGAUGAAGGGAUUGAAGCAAAAGAAAGCACACCUGAUGGAGAUCCAAGUUAAUGGUGGUACGAUUGCUCAGAAGGUGGACUAUGCCUAUGGGUUCUUUGAGAAGCAAGUUCCAGUAGAAGCUGUUUUCCAAAAAGAUGAGAUGA
rnacentral:misc_RNA from 1 species